GAUUGUGUCAGCUCGGUCGGUAGAGCAUGAGACUCUUAACCUUAGGGUUGUGGGUUCGAGUCUAAUCCAGAAUGCA